AGAGUUUGAUCCUGGCUCAGAUUGAACGCUGGCGGCAGGCCUAACACAUGCAAGUCGAGCGGAUGAAAGGAGCUUGCUCCUGGAUUCAGCGGCGGACGGGUGAGUAAUGCCUAGGAAUCUGCCUGGUAGUGGGGGACAACGUUUCGAAAGGAACGCUAAUACCGCAUACGUCCUACGGGAGAAAGCAGGGGACCUUCGGGCCUUGCGCUAUCAGAUGAGCCUAGGUCGGAUUAGCUAGUUGGUGAGGUAAUGGCUCACCAAGGCGACGAUCCGUAACUGGUCUGAGAGGAUGAUCAGUCACACUGGAACUGAGACACGGUCCAGACUCCUACGGGAGGCAGCAGUGGGGAAUAUUGGACAAUGGGCGAAAGCCUGAUCCAGCCAUGCCGCGUGUGUGAAGAAGGUCUUCGGAUUGUAAAGCACUUUAAGUUGGGAGGAAGG
rnacentral:rRNA from 1 species